UGAUGUCCCAGGGUCCGUGAAGGCCGCACCGCUGCUGCUAUGGUAACUGCCGCGGCGAGCGCUAACGUUUCUUUUUAAGGUCAAACCAACUUUUACUGGAAGCUUCCAUCAUGGCGUCGACACACAGCGACCCGCUGUCUGUUGAUGAAGCUCCAGGAGGAGCAGGAGAGGAGGAGAAGGCCGAGGGAGAGGAGGAGAAGGCCGCCGAGUGGAGCCGAGGGGCGCAGGUUCCAGUAAAGGUGUUACGGGCUCACAGCGCCGCUGUCACCGCUGCCCGACUCUGCUUCAGUGACAGCUGCGUCCUCAGCUGCUCCUCGGACCACAGGGCCAUCCUCUGGGAUGUGGAGAGCUGCAGACCUCUGAGGGUGUUUGAUGGAGUUCACAGUAGAACCAUCAGUGAGUGUGCUCUGAUCCCAAACAGCAACAGGAUGGUUACAGUCUCCUGGGAUAAGUCCAUUGUGGCAACAGACCUGGAAACAGGACAGACUCUGUGGAGUUCGAGGCCGGCUGGCCUGCUGACCUCCUGCAGCUCUUCGUGUGAUGGCCGCUUGCUGGUUUGUGCUUCAGAUCCACAGAACAGCAUUCACAUCAUGGACGCCUCCAGCGGACAGACGCUGCACCACGUCAGCGAUCAUCACCGCUCCACCAUCACACGUUGUCGGUUCGACCCUCACAACCUGCGAGUGGCCACGGUGUCUGCAGACCGCAGCAUCAAACUGUGGGACCUGCUGGCUCAGAAAACCACCGUGUCCAUCGACAGUAACCACGGCAACGUCAUCUCUGACUGCUGCUUCACCAACAGCGCUCACUUCCUGUGCACGGCAUCGUGGGAUAAGAGUUUAAAGCUGUGGGACCUUCAGACGGGAGGGUUUCGGUCUCAUGGUGGGACGAAGCUGCAGAGAGGGCAUGAAGGCAGCGUGAGCUCCUGCAGCUUCUCUGCUGACGCAAACCUGCUGGCAUCCGGCUCCUAUGACAAGACUGUUGCAGUCUGGGAUGUGUCCCUUCUGUGCCAGACUCUCAUCCUGAAGGGCCACAGUGAUUGGGUGACAGAUGUGUCAGUCAGUGCUGACAGGAAGUUGGUGGCCUCUGCCUCUAAAGACGGGACUGUCCGGCUGUGGAACAUCGAGAACAUGGAGGAAAUCCCAGCAGUCAUGGAGAAGAGGAGGACUGAAGGAACCGGAGUUCACAUCCUGAAGUGUGAGGAGUGUGGAAAGCCGUUCCCCGUGUCCAGACUACAGACCUCAGAGCUGCUGACCCAGUGCGUCUUCUGUCGACUCAAAUCUCCGUCCAGAUACCAACCACAGCCUCCACCUCUCAUGUGACUUCCUGCCCAGGAGGUCAGAGGUCAGCCACAGAACAGCAGCAGGUUGACCAGAGAGAACUCCUGCUGCAGAGUCUGAGUGAGACCUGAACCCCCCGCCGAGUCCUGACGACCUCCAGAGUCCGGAUCUGAGAGCACAGGUGAGACGACAGGUUUUCAGAUGCAGGACCGAGGCUGUGCUGGCUGUCGGGUUCCUGAGACGACAGCGACUUCUCCGUCUCCACCGUGAGGGACAUCCCAUCCAUCAGCUCGUCCACGUCACUGACACACAGCUACACAACAACGUCAACAACA